rnacentral:rRNA from 1 species
AUGAGAUCUUCCACUGAUUAUAGCAGUCAGGAGAAGUGGUGCUACAUGCCUCACAACAGCACACAUCUUGGGGAAGUAGGGGCAUACACACCUUGGGUUGCCAAUGAGCAUCCUACUACUGCGAGUGGAGCCCAGAUAGAAAAUAGAAACUUAGGCUGUUGCAGCCUGACACAAGAAAAGAGGGAAGAUGAACCUGAGGGAGGAAGGCGAUCGCAUGGUGGCGAACGCAGGCGGAACCCGACGGCGGGAGCACGGUGGUGGAUGCCUAGGGUUUAG